GCUUCGGCACGGCUCGGGUCGAUACCCGCCACACCAAGCACUCAUCGUUUAGGGCCAGGACUACCGGGGUAUCUAAUCCCGUUUGCUCCCCUGGCUUUCGCGCCUCAGCGUCAGUGUCGGUCCAGGAUGCCGCCUUCGCCACCGGUGUUCCUCCAGAUAUCUACGCAUUUCACCGCUACACCUGGAAUUCCACAUCCCUCUCCCGAACUCAAGCCCGCCAGUAUCGGACGCAGUUCCUCGGUUGAGCCGAGGGAUUUCACGUCCGACUUAACAGGCCGCCUACGCGCCCUUUACGCCCAGUAAUUCCGAACAACGCUUGCCCCCUCUGUAUUACCGCGGCUGCUGGCACAGAGUUAGCCGGGGCUUCCUCAGGUGGUACCGUCAGCCGUCGUGGAUAUUCACCACGACGGUGUUCGUCCCACCCAACAGGGGUUUACAAUCCGAGGACCGUCAUCCCCCACGCGGCGUUGCGUCGUCAGGCUUGCGCCCAUUGCGAACAAUUCCCCACUGCUGCCUCCCGUAGGAGUCUGGGCCGUGUCUCA
rnacentral:rRNA from 1 species